UACGUAGGGUGCGAGCGUUGUUCGGAAUUACUGGGCGUAAAGGGCUCGUAGGCGGCCAACUAAGUCAGACGUGAAAUCCCUCAGCUUAACCGGGGAACUGCGUGUGAUACUGGAUGGCUUGGAUUUGGGAGAGGGAUGCGGAAUUCCAGGUGUAGCGGUGAAAUGCGUAGAUAUCUGGAGGAACACCGGUGGCGAAGGCGGCAUCCUGGACCAAUAUUGACGCUGAGGAGCGAAAGCUAGGGGAGCAAACAGG
rnacentral:rRNA from 1 species